UACGAAGGGGGCUAGCGUUGCUCGGAAUCACUGGGCGUAAAGGGUGCGUAGGCGGGUCUUUAAGUCAGGGGUGAAAUCCUGGAGCUCAACUCCAGAACUGCCUUUGAUACUGAAGAUCUUGAGUUCGGGGAGAGGUGAGUAGGACUGCGAGUGUAGAGGUGAAAUUCGUAGAUAUUCGCAAGAACACCAGUGGCGAAGGCGGCUCACUGGCCCGAUACUGACGCUGAGGCACGAAAGCGUGGGGAGCAAACAGG
rnacentral:rRNA from 1 species